rnacentral:misc_RNA from 1 species
UCCGAGUUGUCCCCGGCAGUCCUUUUAGAGUCCCCGGCAUUACCCGCUGGCAACAUAGAACGAGGGUUGCGCUCGUUGCGGGACUUAACCCAACAUCUCACAACACGAGCUGACGACAACCAUGCACCACCUGUAAACCGACCGCAAGCGGGGCGCCUGUUUCCAGGUAUUACCGGUUCAUGUCAAGCCUUGGUAAGGUUCUUCGCGUUGCAUCGAAUUAAUCCGCAUGCUCCGCCGCUUGUGCGGGCCCCCGUCAAUUCCUUUGAGUUUUAAUCUUGCGACCGUACUCCCCAGGCGGGAUGCUUAAAGCGUUAGCUGCGCCACUGACGAGCAAGCUCGCCAACGGCUAGCAUCCAUCGUUUACGGCGUGGACUAC